rnacentral:piRNA from 1 species
ACACCGAAGAACUUUUCCUGGAGCUUGCU